rnacentral:rRNA from 1 species
GAUGAACGCUGGCGGCGUGCCUAAUACAUGCAAGUCGAGCGAACAGACGAGGAGCUUGCUCCUCUGACGUUAGCGGCGGACGGGUGAGUAACACGUGGAUAACCUACCUAUAAGACUGGGAUAACUUCGGGAAACCGGAGCUAAUACCGGAUAAUAUAUUGAACCGCAUGGUUCAAUAGUGAAAGACGGUUUUGCUGUCACUUAUAGAUGGAUCCGCGCCGCAUUAGCUAGUUGGUAAGGUAACGGCUUACCAAGGCAACGAUGCGUAGCCGACCUGAGAGGGUGAUCGGCCACAUUGGAACUGAGCCACGGUCCAGACUCCUACGGGAGGCAGCAGUAGGGAAUGUUACGCAAUGGGCGAAAGCCUGACGGAGCAACGCCGCGUGAGUGACGAAGGUCUUCGGAUCGUAAAACUCUGUUAUUAGGGAAGAACAAAUGUGUAAGUAAAUAUGCACGUCUUGACGGUACCUAAUCAGAAAGCCACGGCUAACUACGUG